rnacentral:misc_RNA from 1 species
GAGUUAGGGUCGCCUUCUAGGUGCCCGACCUCCCAACCCUGUGUCUAAAUUACCUCAGUUGCUUCGGUGGGCCGGGCGCGACCAACUGGCUUCGUGACCGGUGGCCGGGGAUACCCCCGGCGGCAGAGUGCCCACCGACGGCCUCCACAAAACUCUUGAUACCUAAACCUGUCGUCUGAAUUUACUUGAUAUUGAAUCAAAACAAAACUUUCAACAACGGAUCUCUUGGUUCU